UUUUUUUUUUUUUUUUUUUUUUUAAACGAUGAUGGUGAUCCAAUACUGGAAGAGACACAGAUACACUGUAGGACAUGCAGUCCAUUCUUUGAAAUGUUCAGGACUCUAAAGGACACAGACCUGCCCUAAAUGCAGUGUUGGAUGAGAUGACCUCUGAAGAUGACUUCUAGCCUACCUGGUUCUGCAGCUCCAUGAUUCUGUGUUGCCUGGGCUAAUGCUCCCAAUAUGAAAUGCAUAAUAGCACGAGUCUCUGCCACUGGAAAUUCGAAGGAAAUGAAAAAAAAAACAGCAUGAGCUGCAACACAUCAUAGGUAGCUCAGAAAAGAGUUUCAGUGUGGAACGUUCAGAACGUCGCACGUUUCUUUAUGAGAUCGAAGAACCCUCUGUUAUUGAAUCUCUAUUCUCCAGGCCAAAACCACCAAGCAUGAAUGGUAAAUGCUGUGCUCUUGGUCAUCUGACACUGCACUGAUGCAAUGCAGUCUAUCUCAGACACGACAGAAGGACAGAAGGGAAUAAAAGUGCACUGAAAUGCAAAGAGGAAUGGAGAAAAGUUUCCAGGCUCUAUCUCACUUCUCCUCCCUGAAACCUUUUCAUUGAAAUAUGUUGUGUAGCAUCAGUAAAAUAAAGUAAAAUUCUGGUCUUUUGCCAUGUUCAUAGAGCUGCCUUACAGAAUCUCUGCCGCUGUGUGACAGCCCCUGCUGCUGCCGUCUGCAGCCGGAGACAUCCUUUAGGAGGAAGUGGGAGUUUCUCUUAUGCAGGAGUGGCAGCACUGUGCUCUUAAAAUUGCUUGCCGUCUGGUGGCGAUAAAAGCACUGAGCUCUGUGGCUGAGUUCAAAGCUUUGCAUCAGUGGUUGGAGACAGCAGAAGGCAGGCUGCAGCCUGCAGCCACAGGGAGUCGUGCCCUGGAGAUGGGGACACAGCUCAUACCUCAUCAUCGUGGCCAGUGGGCAGUCAGCAGCUCAGCCUGGCCGCAUGGUCUCCAAAGCUGGGAAGGCAAACCGCAGCAAGCAGCUGGGCAAGCAGAAAAUACAACACAGCAAGGCUUCUUUUGACCUCCUUCUCACUCGCAUGCAAAGCUGCCUUUACCAGAAAAGUCCCUGGGACAGCGCUUCUUUGGCAGUAUUCUCUGAAUUCCUU
rnacentral:lncRNA from 1 species